rnacentral:rRNA from 1 species
UACGUAGGGGGCUAGCGUUGUCCGGAAUCAUUGGGCGUAAAGCGCGUGUAGGCGGCCCGAUAAGUCCGCUGUGAAAGUCGGGGGCUCAACCCUCGAAUGCCGGUGGAUACUGUCGGGCUAGAGUGCGGAAGAGGCGAGUGGAAUUCCUGGUGUAGCGGUGAAAUGCGCAGAUAUCAGGAGGAACACCGAUUGCGAAGGCAGCUCGCUGGGACGUAACUGACGCUGAGACGCGAAAGCGUGGGGAGCAAACAGG